CCUACGGGAGGCAGCAGUGGGGAAUCUUGCGCAAUGGGCGAAAGCCUGACGCAGCCAUGCCGCGUGAAUGAUGAAGGUCUUAGGAUUGUAAAAUUCUUUCACCGAGGACGAUAAUGACGGUACUCGGAGAAGAAGCCCCGGCUAACUUCGUGCCAGCAGCCGCGGUAAUACGAAGGGGGCUAGCGUUGCUCGGAAUUACUGGGCGUAAAGGGAGCGUAGGCGGAUAGUUUAGUCAGAGGUGAAAGCCCAGGGCUCAACCUUGGAAUUGCCUUUGAUACUGGCUAUCUUGAGUACGGAAGAGGUAUGUGGAACUCCGAGUGUAGAGGUGAAAUUCGUAGAUAUUCGGAAGAACACCAGUGGCGAAGGCGACAUACUGGUCCGUUACUGACGCUGAGGCUCGAAAGCGUGGGGAGCAAACAGGAUUAGAUACCCUGGUAGUCCACGCUGUAAACGAUGAGUGCUAGUUGUCGGCGAUGCAUGCAUGUCGGUGGUACGCGAGCUAACGACAUUAAGUACACUCCGCCGUCGGGGAGGUACGGUCGG
rnacentral:rRNA from 1 species